rnacentral:rRNA from 1 species
UACGAAGGGUGCAAGCGUUGUUCGGAAUUACUGGGCGUAAAGCGCGCGUAGGCGGCUUGACAAGUCAGUGGUGAAAUCCCAAGGCUCAACCUUGGAACUGCCAUUGAAACUGUCUGGCUGGAGUGUCGGAGGGGAUAGCGGAAUUGCUAAUGUAGCGGUGAAAUGCGUAGAUAUUAGCAGGAACACCGGUGGCGAAGGCGGCUAUCUGGACGACAACUGACGCUGAGGCGCGAAAGCGUGGGGAGCAAACAGG